CAACCCUCAAGCCCGAGUCUUCUCACGAGGAUAAAGGGCUUGGUGUUGGGGACCGGCAGCUCUCGCCGCCCCCUAAAACUAUUGGCGGCCCUUCGAGGCGACCUCUGCGUAGUAAUUUUCACCUCGCACUGGGAAGCUUGGAGCGGCCACGCCGUAAAACCCCCGACUUUUUAUAA
rnacentral:misc_RNA from 1 species